rnacentral:lncRNA from 1 species
GUGCGAACAGCUUGCCAGCAGAUGAAAGCCAGUGUAGUGCUUUCCUUUGAAUUCCAGGUGUGUGAACUGACCUUGACAUACUGCACCAGCUCCACUCUCAAUCAGGAAAAAAACAAUGAAAAUUAGUGUGACUGUGUCAGAUGAAGAUGUUCCAGUCUGCUUUAAUUCUGACUCUAGUUACCCAGAAACUGUCUAUCCAGUUGUAUGUGAAAACCUGGAGUAAGGGAUAUUGAGCCAAAUUUCAUCAUCUGCCAGCUGCUCAGGCCAAGAGGCAGCAGGAAACUGUUGACAAUGCAGAGAGGCCCCGAGACAGGCCAUAAUAGCACAAGCCAAGUGCUAGGAAUUUAGUGCAACAUUCCACGGCUGAGAGAAGAUGAGCAAUAAGACAAAAACGUUAUCCUGGCAAGGAAGUGCUCAAGGAUGUAAUUAACAAUGGCUAAGCAUGAAUUUCCAUCAUUUUUCAGUCCUGAGCCAAGUCUUUACUCUUUGAAGAUGUCAUUAAAACCACCUCAAAGUCCCUCUGCCUCACACUGUUACUUUCAGGAAUUGCUUAAAGAGAGAGUGCUGUGACAAACAUGAAGAGAGCAACUGCUGCCCAGAGAACGGAAGUGGGUUACAGCUCGGAGGCAAUUUGCAGGGGAAGGAGAACAUGAGGUUUGAUCAAAUGCCAAAUUAAUUUGUUGCAAGUUCGCUUGUGUAAAUAGACAUCAUCUAAGACCUCCUAGUGUGUCAUUAGAAGGGUAAUAUCAGACAUGUCUUA